UACGUAGGAUGCAAGCGUUGUCCGGAUUUAUUGGGUUUAAAGGGUGCGUAGGCGGCCUAUUAAGUCAGUGGUGAAAACGUUCAGCUUAACCGGAUACCCGCCAUUGAUACUGAUAGACUUGAGUGCGACAGAGGGUGGUGGAAUGUGUGGUGUAGCGGUGAAAUGCUUAGAUAUCACGCAGAACACCAAUUGCGAAGGCAGAUGCCUAUGUCGUAACUGACGCUGAGGCACGAAAGCGUGGGGAGCAAACAGG
rnacentral:rRNA from 1 species